GUACUCCAGAGCCUCUGGGUUCUGGGGACCUAAAUUGAAGUCUGAUUCAGAGGUUUAUUUCUUAAGAGCUCAGAAACUGAUGGUAGGGGAGACUUCUCCCCUCUGCAGAGUCCCAAAGAUUCCCCACUGAUUCUUGGGCCCUACUCCAAGUCAGCCUCCCCACCCCAGAAUUUACCUAGUCCUUGCUUGUCUAGCCUGGGGCUUGGGGGCAAAAUCAUAAAUUUGGGAGACAAGAGGCGA
rnacentral:lncRNA from 1 species